GGCACAUUGUCCUUGUAACGGGAAUCCAGCAGGCUGGCCACCCAGUAAUCAGCACAAGUUAGAAUGUGGGCAACUCGUCAGUCGUUGCGCGGGCACUUUGGUUACUCUAGAUAACCUCGGGGCGAUCGCACGUCCCCGUGACGGCGACGACGCAUUCGGAUGUUUGCCCUAUCAACUUUCGAUGGUACUUUCUGCGCCUGCCAUGGUGACCAGGGGUAACGGGGAAUCAGGGUUCGAUUCCA